rnacentral:piRNA from 1 species
UAGGAAAGAAACUGAUACAGGCACCAGGG